UUGGAGGGCAAGUCUGGUGCCAGCAGCCGCGGUAAUUCCAGCUCCAAUAGCGUAUAUUAAAGUUGUUGCAGUUAAAAAGCUCGUAGUUGAAUUUCGGGAUCAAAUAAUCGGUCGUGCCUCCGGUACGUACUGGUUUUAUUGGUUCCUCCCUUCUGACAAACCAUGAUGUCAUUAAUUUGAUGUGGUGGAGAAUCAGGACUGUUACCUUGAAAAAAUUAGAGUGUUUAAAGCAGGCUAACGCUUGAAUACAUUAGCAUGGAAUAAUGAAAUAGGACGUUCGACCCUAUUUUGUUGGUUUCUAGGAUCGACGUAAUGAUUAAUAGGGAUAGUUGGGGGCAUUAGUAUUCAAUUGUCAGAGGUGAAAUUCUUGGAUUUAUUGAAGACUAACUACUGCGAAAGCAUUUGCCAAGGAUGUUUUCAUUAAUCAAGAACGAAAGUUAGGGGAUCGAAGACGAUCAGAUACCGUCGUAGUCUUAACCAUAAACUAUGCCGACUAGGGAUCGGAUGAUGUUAAUUUUUUAAUGACUCAUUCGGCGCCUUACGGGAAAC
rnacentral:rRNA from 1 species